GAUGAACGCUGGCGGCGUGCUUAACACAUGCAAGUCGAACGAUGAAGCCCAGCUUGCUGGGCGGAUUAGUGGCGAACGGGUGAGUAACACGUGAGUAACCUGCCCUUGACUCUGGGAUAAGCCCGGGAAACUGUGUCUAAUACCGGAUAGGAGCGCCUGUCGCAUGACGGGUGCUGGAAAGAUCUUUCGGUCAUGGAUGGACUCGCGGCCUAUCAGCUUGUUGGUGAGGUAACGGCUCACCAAGGCGACGACGGGUAGCCGGCCUGAGAGGGUGACCGGCCACACUGGGACUGAGACACGGCCCAGACCCCUACGGGAGGCAGCAGUGGGGAAUAUUGCACAAUGGGCGGAAGCCUGAUGCAGCGACGCCGCGUGAGGGAUGACGGCCUUCGGGUUGUAAACCUCUUUCAGCAGGGAAGAAGCGAAAGUGACGGUACCUGCAGAAGAAGCACCGGCUAACUACGUG
rnacentral:rRNA from 1 species